rnacentral:misc_RNA from 1 species
GAUGAAGAACGCAGUGAAAUGCGAUAAGUAGUGUGAAUUGCAGAAUUCAGUGAAUCAUCGAAUCUUUGAACGCACAUUGCGCCCCUUGGUAUUCCAUGGGGCAUGCCUGUUCGAGCGUCAUUUGUACCUUCAAGCUCUGCUUGGUGUUGGGUGUUAGUCUCGCCUCUGCGUGUAGACUCGCCUCAAAACAAUUGGCAGCCGGCGUAUUGAUUUCGGAGCGCAGUACAUCUCGCGCUUUGCACUCAUAACGACGACGUCCAAAAGUACAUUUUUACACUCUUGACCUCGGAUCAGGUAGGGAUACCCGCUGAACUUAAGCAUAUCAAUAAGCGGAGGA